rnacentral:rRNA from 1 species
UCGUCACACUAUCAUUAACUGAAUCCAUAGGUUAAUGAGGCGAACCGGGGGAACUGAAACAUCUAAGUACCCCGAGGAAAAGAAAUCAACCGAGAUUCCCCCAGUAGCGGCGAGCGAACGGGGAGGAGCCCAGAGCCUGAAUCAGCAUGUGUGUUAGUGGAAGCGUCUGGAAAGGCGCGCGAUACAGGGUGACAGCCCCGUACACAAAAGCGCAUGUGCUGUGAGCUCGAUGAGUAGGGCGGGACACGUGGUAUCCUGUCUGAAUAUGGGGGGACCAUCCUCCAAGGCUAAAUACUCCUGACUGACCGAUAGUGAACCAGUACCGUGAGGGAAAGGCGAAAAGAACCCCGGCGAGGGGAGUGAAAAAGAACCUGAAACCGUGUACGUACAAGCAGUGGGAGCACCCUUUGGGUGUGACUGCGUACCUUUUGUAU